rnacentral:misc_RNA from 1 species
GAUGAAGAACGCAGCGAAACGCGAUAAGUAAUGUGAAUUGCAGAAUUCAGUGAAUCAUCGAAUCUUUGAACGCACAUUGCGCCCGUCAGUAUUCUGGCGGGCAUGCCUGUUCGAGCGUCAUUACACCCCUCAAGUCCCCUGUGGACUUGGUGUUGGGGAUCGGCGAGGCUGGUUUUCCAGCACAGCCGUCCCUUAAAUUAAUUGGCGGUCUCGCCGUGGCCCUCCUCUGCGCAGUAGUAAAACACUCGCAACAGGAGCCCGGCGCGGUCCACUGCCGUAAAACCCCCCAACUUUUUAUAGUUGACCUCGAAUCAGGUAGGACUACCCGCUGAACUUAAGCAUAUCAAUAAGCGGAGGA